rnacentral:rRNA from 1 species
ACACUGACGUCGCGACGCAUAUCAAUAAGCGGAGGAAAAGAAACUAACAAGGAUUCCCCUAGUAACGGCGAGUGAAGCGGGAAGAGCUCAAAUUUGAAAUCUUAAAGGGUUUCCCUUUACGAAUUGUAGUUUAAAGAAGUGUUUUCUGUUGAGGUUUUGGUAAAAGUUCUUUGGAAUAGGACAUCAUAGAGGGUGAGAAUCCCGUAUUUGACCUUUACUUUCAACUUUGUGAUACACUCUCAAAGAGUCGGAUUGUUUGGGAAUGCAGUCCAAAAAGGGUGGUAAAUUUCAUCUAAAGCUAAAUAUUGGCGAGAGACCGAUAGCGAACAAGUACCGUGAGGGAAAGAUGAAAAGAACUUUGAAAAGAGAGUUAAACAGUACGUGAAAUUGUCAAAAGGGAAGCGUUUGACACCAGUGUUGUUUUUCUGAAAAUCAAUUAAAGAACUGUUUAUGCUAAGUUGUUUAGACUUUAUCAGCUAACUGUUUAGUUUUGAGCUUUUCUUUAAUGCACUUUUCGGUUAACAAGUCAACAUCAAUUUCUUUUGCUGUAAAAGGGUCAUUGGAAGGUGGCUUUCACUUCGGUGAAAGUGUUUAUAGCCUUUGGCUUCUGCAAUCGGAGAGAUUGAGGUCUGCAGCGUAGGUCCUUCGGGGUUAGAUACGUAGAUGCUAAGUUAUAGUUUUUUAUAGACAACUUGUUGACUAUGAUUAAUCAUGUAGCUUACUCGCUUGUGCUAUUUUACCUACGCUUAGGAUGUUGAACUCUAUCACACACAG